AACGAACGUUAGCGGCGCGCCUAAGACAUGCAAGUCGAGCGAGAAAGGGAUUCGUCCCCGGUAAAGCGGCGCACGGGUGAGUAACACGUAGGUAAUCAACCCUCGAGUGGUGGACAACUCUCCGAAAGGAGAGCUAAUACAGCAUGACGUAGCGGUCUUCCGAGAUCGUUUCCAAAGCGGGCCUCUUCAUGAAAGCUCGCGCUCGAGGCUGAGCCUGCGGCCCAUCAGCUAGUUGGAGGGGUAACGGCCCACCAAGGCAUAGACGGGUAGCUGGUCUGAGAGGAUGAACAGCCACACUGGAACUGAGACACGGUCCAGACUCCUACGGGAGGCAGCAGUCGGGAAUCUUCCGCAAUGGGCGAAAGCCUGACGGAGCGACGCCGCGUGAGUGAUGAAGGCCUUCGGGUUGUAAAGCUCUGUGGGGAGGGAAGAAUAAGUUCAAGCGAAUACCUUGAAUGAUGACGGUACCUCCUUAGCAAGCACCGGCUAACUCUGUGCCAGCCGCCGCCGUAA
rnacentral:rRNA from 1 species